rnacentral:rRNA from 1 species
CGAACGGGUGAGUAACGCGUGAGGAACCUGCCUCAAAGAGGGGGACAACAGUUGGAAACGACUGCUAAUACCGCAUAAGCCCACGGUGCCGCAUGGCACAGAGGGAAAAGGAGCAAUCCGCUUUGAGAUGGCCUCGCGUCCGAUUAGCUAGUUGGUGAGGUAAUGGCCCACCAAGGCGACGAUCGGUAGCCGGACUGAGGGGUUGAACGGCCACAUUGGGACUGAGACACGGCCCAG